rnacentral:rRNA from 1 species
UGAGACACGGCCCAAACUCCUACGGGAGGCAGCAGUGGGGAAUCUUGCACAAUGGAGGAAACUCUGAUGCAGCGAUGCCGCGUGAGUGAAGAAGGCCCUUGGGUUGUAAAGCUCUUUCGUCGGGGAAGAAAAUGACUGUACCCGAAUAAGAAGGUCCGGCUAACUUCGUGCCAGCAGCCGCGGUAAUACGAAGGGACCUAGCGUAGUUCGGAAUUACUGGGCUUAAAGAGUUCGUAGGUGGUUGAAAAAGUUGGUGGUGAAAUCCCAGAGCUUAACUCUGGAACUGCCAUCAAAACUUUUCAGCUAGAGUAUGAUAGAGGAAAGCAGAAUUUCUAGUGUAGAGGUGAAAUUCGUAGAUAUUAGAAAGAAUACCAAUUGCGAAGGCAGCUUUCUGGAUCAUUACUGACACUGAGGAACGAAAGCAUGGGUAGCGAAGAGGAUUAGAUACCCUCGUAGUCCAUGCCGUAAACGAUGUGUGUUAGACGUUGGAAAUUUAUUUUCAGUGUCGCAGCGAAAGCGAUAAACACACCGCCUGGGGAGUACGACCGCAAGGUUAAAACUCAAAUGAAUUGACGGGGACCCGCACAAGUAGUGGAGCAUGUGGUUUAAUUCGAAGAUACGCGCAGAACCUUACCAACACUUGACAUGUUCGUCGCGACUUUAAGAGAUUAAAGUUUUCGGUUCGGCCGGACGAAACACAGGUGCUGCAUGGCUGUCGUCAGCUCGUGUCGUGAGAUGUUGGGUUAAGUCCCGCAACGAGCGCAACCCUCACUUUUAGUUGCCAUCAUUAAGUUGGGCACUCUGAAAGAACUGCCAGUGAUAAGCUGGAGGAAGGUGGGGGAUGACGUCAAGUCCUCAUGGCCCUUACGUGUUGGGCUACACACGUGCUACAAUGGUAUCUACAACAGGAAGCAAGACUGCGAAGUUUAGCAAAUCCUUAAAAGAUACCUCAGUUCGGAUUGCACUCUGCAACUCGAGUGCAUGAAGCUGGAAU